GCCUCCGUGGCCUAAUGGAUAAGGCAUCGGUUUUCUAAACCGGGGAUUGUGGGUUUCGAGUCCCACCGGAGGUA